ACUCAAAGGAAUUGACGGGGGCCCGCACAAGCAGUGGAGUAUGUGGUUUAAUUCGACGCAACGCGAAGAACCUUACCAAGUCUUGACAUCCCUUGACGAUGCUGGAAACAGUAUUUCUCUUCGGAGCAAGGAGACAGGUGGUGCAUGGUUGUCGUCAGCUCGUGUCGUGAGAUGUUGGGUUAAGUCCCGCAACGAGCGCAACCCUUAUGGUCAGUUACUACGCAAGAGGACUCUGGCCAGACUGCCGUUGACAAAACGGAGGAAGGUGGGGAUGACGUCAAAUCAUCAUGCCCUUUAUGACUUGGGCUACACACGUACUACAAUGGCGUUAAACAAAGAGAAGCAAGACCGCGAGGUGGAGCAAAACUCAGAAACAACGUCCCAGUUCGGACUGCAGGCUGCAACUCGCCUGCACGAAGUCGGAAUUGCUAGUAAUCGUGGAUCAGCAUGCCACGGUGAAUACGUUCCCGGGCCUUGCACACACCGCCCGU
rnacentral:rRNA from 1 species